rnacentral:tRNA from 1 species
GCCUGGUUAGCUCAAUCGGUAGAGCGUUUGACUCUUAUUUAAUUGCAUAGCAAUCAAAAGGCUGCGGGUUCGAGCCCCGCAUCGGGCU